UUUCCGGUUGAUCCUGCCGGAGGCUAUUGCUACCAGGGUUUGACUAAGCCAUGCGAGUCGAGAGGUGAAAGACCUCGGCAUACUGCUCAGUAACACGUGGAUAAUCUGCCCUCAGGUGAGGAAUAAUCCCGGGAAACUGGGGCUAAUGCCUCAUAGGAGGCGGGUGCUGGAAUGCUCUGUCUCCGAAAGGUCCGCCGCCUGAGGAUGAGUCUGCGUCCGAUUAGGUUGUUGUUGGGGUAACGGCCCAACAAGCCUUUGAUCGGUACGGGUUGUGGGAGCAAGAGCCCGGAGAUGGAUUCUGAGACAUGGAUCCAGGCCCUACGGGGCGCAGCAGGCGCGAAAACUUUACAAUGCGAGCAAUCGUGAUAAGGAAACCCUGAGUGCCUGUCAAUGCAGGCUGUUCUGGUGUCUAACACACACCAGGAGAAAGGGCGGGGCAAGACCGGUGCCAGCCGCCGCGGUAAUACCGGCUGCUCGAGUGAUAGCCACUUUUACUGGGCUUAAAGCGUUCGUAGCUUGGUCGUUAAGUCUCUGGGGAAAUCUUUUGGCUCAACCAAAAGGCGCCUCGGGGAAACUGACGAUCUUGGAACCGGGAGAGGUAAGACGUACUUCGGGGGUAGGAGUGAAAUCUUGUAAUCCCCGAGGGACGACCGAUGGCGAAGGCAUCUUACCAGAACGGCUUCGACAGUGAGGGACGAAAGCUGGGGGAGCAAACCGGAUUAGAUACCCGGGUAGUCCCAGCCGUAAACGAUGUGCGUUAGGUGUGUCAGUGACCACGAGUCGCUGAGGUGCCGAAGGGAAACCGUGAAACGCACCGCCUGGGAAGUACGGUCGCAAGGCUGAAACUUAAAGGAAUUGGCGGGGGAGCAC
rnacentral:rRNA from 1 species